rnacentral:rRNA from 1 species
AUGGGCGACCACACGUUGCCGCCAGAAGUCUCCUCCACACUGCUGCCCGCAAACAUGUCUCGGAGCAUUCGCCGGUCAAACAUGUGUUUAUGUUGUGAUGAACCAUUGACUUUCGUUGACGAACAUCUUGUAUUUUUCAUUUGGACCAUGGCAUGUGUCAUGUUUUUCAUUUGGACCGUGGCAUGUAUGCAUGUACCAUUUUCAUUUAAACCGUUGAUAGUACUUGUAACAGAUUAUAUGAGCUUGUUUGUUGUUUUGCGUAAUCUAGUUGCACCUUUAUUGCAAGUACAUUUGUUCUAUGAGCUUUUGAAGUUGUAA